GCCACGGUGGUCUAGCGGUUAGAACGCUGGCCUUGAGAUCCUGGGGUCUCGGGUUCGAUUCCCGGCGGUGCCC
rnacentral:tRNA from 1 species